ensembl:lncRNA
AUGAGCGUGGGCCUGGCCCCUCCCCAAGCCUCAAAAUCGCCUCUGCUGUGGAUGGAAAGGAAGGGGGAGGAAGGAGGGAGGCAGUCAGAGUGGGGUUUGCCUCGCAGCAGCCCCAGCGCCUGCUUCUCACCUCUCACCAAGGUGCUGGGCCAUGCUACCCUCUGUGGUCAUCUGCUACCUGAUGGAUCUCGCGCUUGUUCUCUUACACUCCCCUGCCCCCUCACCCCAGUGUGCUUCCCAGGUCCACCAGCCAGCUGUGAACAGCUGGCCCAGACCUGUUGUUGUGGCUUGCAGCUUAUGUGCCAUUCCCCAGCGCCUGCUUCUCACCUCUCACCAAGGUGCUGGGCCAUGCUACCCUCUGUGGUCAUCUGCUACCUGAUGGAUCUCGCUUGUUCUCUUACACCCCUGCCCCUCACCCCAGUGUGCUUCCCAGGUCCACCAGCCAGCUGUGAACAGCUGGCCCAGACCUGUUGUUGUGGCUUGCAGCUUAUGUGCCAUUCCCCAGGGGCUGCUGAAAUCAGAGAUGAAUCCCACUGCAAGAGAGCUGCCCUUUCCUGUGGGGUGGAGGAUGGGGAAAGGGGGUCCUCCAGCCGCCCCCCCACCUCCUCCCGGGAGCACAGCUCCGCAGAGCUCAGCGGAGUCCCCGCCUGCCACCCCUCGGAGACUUUUUUUCUCCCCAAGGCUGGCCUUCCAGCAUUGGCCUCUGCUGGCCUAGUACUCUGAGGGAGGCCCCGCUAUUGUGAUUCAGCUCUAGAGAUCAUUGUAUGAUAAUUUAAAACUAUAUAGAUAUUAUUUAAAUCAACCCAGUGGGGGUUAAAUCUCAAAGUUGGACUUGGGAGAGGGAGAAAAAGUGAUGACAUGAUUGCUCACCUGUUCCCUUCACAGACCCAGGCCUGGCACGCCGGCUGGUAUUUAAUGUUCAUUACUCACUUGCCAUGCCCUAGACACACUGAAUGGAACAACCCAAUGCCUAAAAUACGCAGCCCACUAUGACCGGGAGUGAUGUGUGGAGGGGUAGGACUUGCAAAGAGAGGAGACUAAAAGAAACAGGAUUUUCCCCCCCAGAUGCUUUAAAUAUGUUAUUUCCCACAUUCCUUGGCUGUGACGCUGCCCCCCAGUUCCCCAGAAGUUCUGGGAGGGGCGCUUCUAAUAAGAUGGGGCCUUUGGGUUUCUGGCUUCAGAUUAAUCAAGGACACAGAGGUCAGCUAGGAGUAGCAGGAGACAAGCAAAAAGAACUGGGGUGAACUCAGCUCUGAAAGACUUAAUCAUCUCAAGUGGUAUUUGUGGCCAACUGGGAGCUAUUUCUUUUUGAAUAUAUGUAUUAUAUAUUUCUUAAAUGAAGCUGCUCUCUGGUGUUUUGUUUCUAAAGUCCCUUUGUGCCCCACUUUGCACAGCUCUGAUCCCAAGGCAGGCCCUGGCAUGUGACGUGGGGCCAAGCUGGACAUUCCUGAAAUGGAGUCUGGCUUUAGUUCAGAUUUCAAACUGCAUUGGCUUUGGGACCAGCAGAAAGCAAGAACCCAGCCGCCUUGCAGGACUUCGAGGCCUCUGAGCUGUGUUUCUAUUCAGGACCCUCUAACUUUGUUCUUGGAGGUAGUUUGGCUUCCUCAAAGCCAGAGGUUAUUUGGAGAAUUCACUCUUGACUCACAGGCAUAUCCUCAGUCACUGCCUUCUGGCUGGUUCUCUAAAGUUGCUGCCAGACACCAGGCCUGCUGCUUCCUCCUUCUUCCUUUCUCCUCCUCCUUGGGAGCAGCGGCAGGGGGAGCCUUUGGACUUGGGCAGGGAACCCCAUGCCCCCCUGUGUCCCCAGC